rnacentral:rRNA from 1 species
CGGGGGGAGCAAGCGUUGUUCGGAUUUACUGGGCGUAAAGGGCGCGUAGGCGGCCACCGCAAGUCGACUGUGAAAUCUCCGGGCUUAACCCGGAAAGGUCAGCCGAUACUGCGGGGCUAGAGUGCAGAAGGGGCAACUGGAAUUCUCGGUGUAGCGGUGAAAUGCGUAGAUAUCGAGAGGAACACCUGCGGCGAAGGCGGGUUGCUGGGCUGACACUGACGCUGAGGCGCGAAAGCUAGGGGGAGCGAACGGGAUUAGAUACCCCGGUAGUCCUAGCCUUAAACGAUGAAUGCUUGGUGUCUGGGGUUUUAUAGUCCCCGGGUGCCGUCGCUAACGCUUUAAGCAUUCCGCCUGGGGAGUACGGUCGCAAGACUG